rnacentral:rRNA from 1 species
AGAGUUUGAUCCUGGCUCAGAGCGAACGCUGGCGGCAGGCUUAACACAUGCAAGUCGAGCGGGCGUAGCAAUACGUCAGCGGCAGACGGGUGAGUAACGCGUGGGAACGUACCUUUUGGUUCGGAACAACACAGGGAAACUUGUGCUAAUACCGGAUAAGCCCUUACGGGGAAAGAUUUAUCGCCGAAAGAUCGGCCCGCGUCUGAUUAGCUAGUUGGUAGGGUAAUGGCCUACCAAGGCGACGAUCAGUAGCUGGUCUGAGAGGAUGAUCAGCCACAUUGGGACUGAGACACGGCCCAAACUCCUACGGGAGGCAGCAGUGGGGAAUAUUGGACAAUGGGCGCAAGCCUGAUCCAGCCAUGCCGCGUGAGUGAUGAAGGCCCUAGGGUUGUAAAGCUCUUUUGUGCGGGAAGAUAAUGACGGUACCGCAAGAAUAAGCCCCGGCUAACUUCGUGCCAGCAGCCGCGGUAAUACGAAGGGGGCUAGCGUUGCUCGGAAUCACUGGGCGUAAAGGGUGCGUAGGCGGGUCUUUAAGUCAGGGGUGAAAUCCUGGAGCUCAACUCCAGAACUGCCUUUUGAUACUGAGGAUCUUGAGUUCGGGAGAGGUGAGUGGAACUGCGAGUGUAGAGGUGAAAUUCGUAGAUAUUCGCAAGAACACCAGUGGCGAAGGCGGCUCACUGGCCCGAUACUGACGCUGAGGCACGAAAGCGUGGGGAGCAAACAGGAUUAGAUACCCUAGUAGUCC